rnacentral:rRNA from 2 species
CGGCGGCCGUAACUAUAACGGUCCUAAGGUAGCGAAAUUCCUUGUCGGGUAAGUUCCGACCCGCACGAAAGGCGUAACGAUUUGGGCACUGUCUCAACGAGAGACUCGGUGAAAUCAUAGUACCUGUGAAGAUGCAGGUUACCCGCGACAGGACGGAAAGACCCCGUGGAGCUUUACUGUAGCCUGAUAUUGAAAUUCGGCACAGCUUGUACAGGAUAGGUAGGAGCCUUUGAAACGUGAGCGCUAGCUUACGUGGAGGCGUUGGUGGGAUACUACCCUAGCUGUGUUGGCUUUCUAACCCGCACCACUUAUCGUGGUGGGAGACAGUGUCAGGCGGGCAGUUUGACUGGGGCGGUCGCCUCCUAAAAGGUAACGGAGGCGCUCAAAGGUUCCCUCAGAAUGGUUGGAAAUCAUUCAUAGAGUGUAAAGGCAUAAGGGAGCUUGACUGCGAGACCUACAAGUCGAGCAGGGUCGAAAGACGGACUUAGUGAUCCGGUGGUUCCGCAUGGAAGGGCCAUCGCUCAACGGAUAAAAGCUACCCCGGGGAUAACAGGCUUAUCUCCCCCAAGAGUUCACAUCGACGGGGAGGUUUGGCACCUCGAUGUCGGCUCAUCGCAUCCUGGGGCUGUAGUCGGUCCCAAGGGUUGGGCUGUUCGCCCAUUAAAGCGGUACGCGAGCUGGGUUCAGAACGUCGUGAGACAGUUCGGUCCCUAUCCGUCGUGGGCGUAGGAAAUUUGAGAGGAGCUGUCCUUAGUACGAGAGGACCGGGAUGGACAUACCUCUGGUGUACCAGUUGUCGUGCCAACGGCAUAGCUGGGUAGCUAUGUAUGGACGGGAUAAGUGCUGAAAGCAUCUAAGCAUGAAGCCCCCCUCAAGAUGAGAUUUCCCAACUUCGGUUAUAAGAUCCCUCAGAGAUGAUGAGGUUAAUAGGUUCGAGGUGGAAGCGUGGUGACACGUGGAGCUGACGAAUACUAAUCGAUCGAAGACUUAAUCAA